CUCCGGUUGAUCCUGCCGGACCCGACUGCUAUCGGAUUGAGAUUUAGCCAUGCGAGUCGAACGUCCCCCUGUUGCGGGGGGCGUGGCGUACGGCUCAGUAACACGUAGUCAACCUGCCCUGGAGACAAGGACAACCCCGGGAAACUGGGAUUAAUCCUUGAUAGGUCAUCUCAUCUGGAAGGAGAGAUGGCUUAAAGGGGUACGCGGGCUUCUUCCGCGAAUUCGCUCCAGGAUGGGACUGCGUCCGAUCAGGCUGUUGGCGGGGUAAUGGCCCACCAAACCUGUAACCGGUACGGGCCUUGAGAGAGGUGGCCCGGAGAUGGACACUGAGAGAAGGGUCCAGGUCCUACGGGGCGCAGCAGGCGCGAAACCUUCGCAAUGCGCGAAAGCGUGACGAGGUUAAUCCGAGUGACUCCCGCUGAGGGGGUCUUUUGUCAGCUGUAAAUAGGCAGGCGAAUAAGGGGAGGGCAAGCCUGGUGUCAGCCGCCGCGGUAAUACCAGCUCCUCGAGUGGUCGGGGCGAUUAUUGGGCCUAAAGCAUCCGUAGCCGGUUCCGUAGGUCCUCUGUUAAAUCCAACCGCUUAACGGUUGACCUGCAGAGGAUACCGCGGGACUAGGAGGCGGGAGAGGCGGACGGUAUUCCGCGUGUAGGGGUAAAAUCCUUUGAUCCGCGGAGGACCACCAGUGGCGAAGGCGGUCCGCCAGAACGCGCUCGACGGUGAGGGAUGAAAGCUGGGGGAGCGAACCGGAUUAGAUACCCGGGUAGUCCCAGCCGUAAACGAUGCUAGCUAGAUGAUUCAUUCGCAAGUCGCGAAUGAAGUGUCGCAGGGAAGCCGUUAAGCUAGCCGCCUGGGGAGUACGGUCGCAAGACUGAAACUUAAAGGAUUUGGCGGGGGAGCA
rnacentral:rRNA from 1 species